ensembl:lncRNA
CGCACUGCUGCUGUGGCUGCCGUUGUUGUGUGUGACUAUGCAUACAUCAGAUGCGUCAUCGGUGCUCCCCUUGAAAUAUUGAAAGUGUUGACUGCUAGUCCGGGCGCGUUUCACGUCCUGCCCACGGAUAACACUGCUGUUUUGUUUUUGUGUUGAUUUUUCUAGUUUGUUUUUGUUUGUCUUUAUUUAUAUUUGGUUAAAAGUGAUAUUCUCUGCUCUUCUUUGUCUUCGUAUUUUCUAUUAGUUUUCUGUGUAUUUAUUUUUAGUUGAUUCCUAUAUUCCAAAGAACCUUAUCCUCGUUCUUGGGUUUAUUUUGCAGCUCAUCAUUUUGUUGGCUGUUUGAUUAA